UACGUAGGGAGCGAGCGUUUGUCCGGAAUUACUGGGUGUAAAGGGUGCGUAGGCGGCCUUGUGGGUCAGGCGUGAAAUACAUGGGCUUAACCCAUGGACUGCGCUUGAAACUAUAAGGCUUGAGUGAAGUAGAGGCAGGUGGAAUUCCCGGUGUAGCGGUGAAAUGCGUAGAGAUCGGGAGGAACACCAGUGGCGAAGGCGGCCUGCUGGGCUUUAACUGACGCUGAGGCACGAAAGCAUGGGUAGCAAACAGGG
rnacentral:rRNA from 1 species